UACGUAGGGGGGCUAGCGUUGUCCGGAAUCAUUGGGCGUAAAGAGCGUGUAGGCGGCCCGGUAAGUCCGCUGUAAAAGUCAAAGGCUCAACCUUUGAAUGUCAGUGGAUACUGCCGGGCUAGAGUCCGGAAGAGGCGAGUGGAAUUCCUGGUGUAGCGGUGAAAUGCGCAGAUAUCAGGAGGAACACCAAUGGCGAAGGCAGCUCGCUGGGACGGUACUGACGCUGAGACGCGAAAGCGUGGGUAGCAAACAGG
rnacentral:rRNA from 1 species